rnacentral:rRNA from 1 species
CCUACGGGAGGCAGCAGUCGGGAAUAUUGCACAAUGGGGGAAACCCUGACGCAGCGACGCCGCGUGAAGGAAGAAGGUUUUCGGUUUGUAAACUUCUAUUAGCAGGGAAGAAAAUGACGGUACCUGACUAAUAAGCCCCGGCUAACUCCGUGCCAGCAGCCGCGGUAAUACGUAGGGUGCAAGCGUUAUCCGGAUUUACUGGGUGUAAAGGGAGCGUAGGCGGUUUAGCAAGUCAGAUGUGAAAGCCCGCGGCUCAACUCUGGAACUGCAUUUGAAACUGGUGAACUAGAGUGCAGGAGAGGUAGGUGGAAUUCCUGGUGUAGCGGUGAAAUGCGUAGAUAUUAGGAGGAACACCAGGGGCGAAGGCGGCUUACUGGACUGUAAAUGACGCUGAGGCUCGAAAGCGUGGGGAGCAAACAGGAUUAGAUACCCGAGUAGUC